rnacentral:rRNA from 1 species
AGACAGGGAAGAAACAAGACAGUACCUGUAGAAUAAGCUCCGGCUAACUACGUGCCAGCAGCCGCGGUAAUACGUAGGGAGCAAGCGUUAUCCGGAUUUAUUGGGUGUAAAGGGUGCGUAGACGGGAAAUUAAGUUAGUUGUGAAAUCCCUCGGCUCAACUGAGGAACUGCAACUAAAACUGAUUUUCUUGAGUGCUGGAGAGGAAAGUGGAAUUCCUAGUGUAGCGGUGAAAUGCGUAGAUAUUAGGAGGAACACCAGUGGCGAAGGCGACUUUCUGGACAGUAACUGACGUUGAGGCACGAAAGUGUGGGGAGCAAACAGGAUUAGAUACCCUGGUAGUCCACACCGUAAACGAUGGAUACUAGGUGUAGGGUGUGAUAAACAUUCUGUGCCGUCGCAAACGCAGUAAGUAUCCCACCUGGGGAGUACGGCCGCAAGGUUGCAACUCAAAUGAAA